rnacentral:lncRNA from 1 species
GGGCCUUCAGGACAACAGUUGUCAAACUUAGAAUGUGCUUCUGAAUCCCCUAGAGGGCUUGUUGAAGCACAGAUUUUUGGGCCCUGCUUCUGGAGUUUUUGAUUCUUUCAGUCUAGGGUGGGGCCUGAGAAUUUGCAUUCUAACAAGUUACCCUAGGGUGCUCCUGCUGAUCCUGAUCCCACACUGAGAACCACCCUUAGUUAAACCUGCCCAACCUCCAUCCUGUAACUGAGCUGAGCUAUGUCAAGGGCAGAUGUGGGGGCCAGGGACCUUGUGGCACCUGCUUACUUGGGGUCCCUAGUAGGACAGAGUCUUACCUAGAUCUUGCCUCGGUGUCCUCCAAUUCCCACUCUGGCGGCUGGGAGGCCAGGCCUGCUCCCGC